GGAAGGGUGGCUUAGUGGUUAGCACGCCCACCUCUCAUCCUGUGGGCCGCGGGUUCGAAUCGCGCCUCCUGAG